rnacentral:sRNA from 1 species
UCUGAUGAUGACCUUGCAGUUAGGCUCAAUGGCUUAGACUUAGAUAAAGAUAUUAGUACAGUAUGGAAACGCCUGACAAAGAAAGAAAGAGAAGAGUUUGCUAAAAUGUAUCUAGAUGGUCGAAUAGCUACUCUUAUUGAACUGUGGACUCCUUGGUGGCGAUCAAAA